CAGUCCAGGUGGUCGCCUUCGCCACUGGUGUUCCUUCCUAUAUCUACGCAUUUCACCGCUACACAGGAAAUUCCACCACCCUCUACCAUACUCUAGCUUGUCAGUUUUGAAUGCAGUUCCCAGGUUGAGCCCGGGGCUUUCACAUCCAACUUAACAAACCACCUACGCGCGCUUUACGCCCAGUAAUUCCGAUUAACGCUUGCACCCUCUGUAUUACCGCGGCUGCUGGCACAGAGUUAGCCGGUGCUUAUUCUGUCGGUAACGUCAAAAUUGCAGAGUAUUAAUCUACAACCCUUCCUCCCAACUUAAAGUGCUUUACAAUCCGAAGACCUUCUUCACACACGCGGCAUGGCUGGAUCAGGCUUUCGCCCAUUGUCCAAUAUUCCCCACUGCUGCCUCCCGUAGGAGUCUGGACCGUGUCUCAGUUCCAGUGUGACUGAUCAUCCUCUCAGACCAGUUACGGAUCGUCGCCUUGGUGAGCCAUUACCUCACCAACUAGCUAAUCCGACCUAGGCUCAUCUGAUAGCGCAAGGCCCGAAGGUCCCCUGCUUUCUCCCGUAGGACGUAUGCGGUAUUAGCGUUCCUUUCGAAACGUUGUCCCCCACUACCAGGCAGAUUCCUAGGCAUUACUCACCCGUCCGCCGCUGAAUUCAGGAGCAAGCUCCUGUCAUCCGCUCGACUUGCAUGUGUUAGGCCUGCCGCCAGCGUUCAAU
rnacentral:rRNA from 1 species